GAUGAACGCUGGCGGCGUGCCUAACACAUGCAAGUCGAACGGGGAUACAUUGGUAGCAAUACUGGUGUAUUCUAGUGGCGGACGGGUGAGUAACGCGUGAGUAACCUACCUUCUAGUGGGGGAUAACAGCUGGAAACAGCUGCUAAUACCGCAUAACGUACAACAGGGGCAUCUCUGUGGUACCAAAGAUUUAUCGCUGGAAGAUGGGCUCGCGUCUGAUUAGCUAGUUGGUAGGGUAAAAGCCUACCAAGGCGACGAUCAGUAGCCGGGCUGAGAGGUUGACCGGCCACAUUGGGACUGAGACACGGCCCAGACUCCUACGGGAGGCAGCAGUGGGGAAUAUUGGGCAAUGGGGGAAACCCUGACCCAGCAACGCCGCGUGAAGGAAGAAGGCCUUCGGGUUGUAAACUUCUUUGACAGGGGACGAAACAAAUGACGGUACCCUGAAAACAAGCCACGGCUAACUACGUGCCAGCAGCCGCGGUAAUACGUAGGUGGCGAGCGUUAUCCGGAAUUACUGGGUGUAAAGGGCGCGUAGGCGGGGAUGCAAGUCAGGUGUGAAAUCUAUGGGCUUAACCCAUAAACUGCACUUGAAACUGUGUCUCUUGAGUGAUGGAGAGGUAAGUGGAAUUCCUAGUGUAGCGGUGGAAUGCGUAGAUAUUAGGAGGAACACCAGUGGCGAAGGCGACUUACUGGACAUUAGCUGACGCUGAGGCGCG
rnacentral:rRNA from 1 species